GGCUUUGAUCAAUCUAUAGAGAGAACAUGAAAUUGCUUGUAUGGUUACAAAGAGAGAACAAGAAGUUGUUUUAUAGAGAACAUGAAGGAGAAUACGUAUCUCCAUAAUCCGUGACUACACAAGCAAACAAAAUAGUAGACAAGACUACACUACUCAAACAAGCAAAAGAGUAGACAAGACUACACAACACAAGACAACAAAAGAGUAGACAACACUACACAACACAAGUCCGUGAAACUGAGUAUCAAACAUCCAUGACUCUUCAAGUCCGUGACUCUUCCACAGUACACACGUCCGUGACUCGUCCACACUUUACAAUGCACCAUGAUCUUCAAGCGAUCCAUCCUGAAGAAGAACAACACCAAAACGAUCACUCAUCCAAAAACAGUCACAUAAAACAUAUAUAUCUGUUGGACAUAAAAGAUCACUCAGCCAAAAUGAUCACUCAUCCAGAGAUUAAAACAAGAACAUAAACCUUUUUAUAACAUCACUAACCAGGACAAUGAAACAUAAGUUACAAGCCGAUGAAAUAAAACAGAAACAGAGAUCAAAAACAGUGACAUACAACAACCAGGAAACUUAACCAACAAACAAAGAUUAAAACCGAGACUUAAUAGACUUCAUCUAAUUAGACAUCAACUCAAUACUGAGCUGCUUCUUCAGAGCUUCUUCAUAAUCAGCAAGGGGUUCUUCUUUUGCAAGGAGACGCUCAAGAAGCCUCAUCUUCGACACCCUUUCUUUCAUCUUAAGAUCCUGCUGCUUGAUGAUCCACAUAGUCUCAAACGACGCGUCCAGAUCCUUUCCCCCCUCCAUCGUCUUCUUACCACGGGCUUUUGCAGCCUUAACACCCUCGGGACGAAUACUUCCUUCAGUUGCUGAAUGUUCACUGUCCUCACACUUCCUCUUUUUUUACGCAGACAGCUCACUCCACUUCUGGUCAUUACGCAACUCUUUCCAAGCAUACUCAAGGGUGAACUUUUUGUUAUGGUUUGUGAAGAAGAUCUCAUGGGCUCGCUUGAGGACAUCAGUCUCAUUUUGCCCACUCGAUCUCUCUCUGUUUGCAGCUUCAUAUGCUCCACAAAACUUGCAAACUACGUCAUUAAUCUUGUGCCAGCGAUUCUUACAGUGAGCUGCCUCUCUCUUCUCACACCCAGCAAGCUUCGGACUAGCAUUGUAAUACUCAGCAAUUCUUUUCCAGAAUGCUGAAGACCUUUGCUCGUUCCCAACGAUAGGGUCUUUGCUCGUGUUCAGCCACAAGCUGAUGAGUACUACAUCGUCGGUUGGGGUCCACGCUCUUCUUUCUUUACGGAUGGCUUCAGUGUUUGCACCACUGCCACCACUGCCUAAGAAGGGAGCUUGCGAUGCAACAUUUUGUUGACUGGUAAGUAAGUCAACAAAGUUAGCAGACUCGCUAAAUGGAUUAAAGUCCAUUUUCCAAAGUCAAGAGAAGAGAGAAAAAAUAGAUAGGAGUCUGUUUGGAGUUGGAAGAGAAGGCAAGAGUUUUAAAGAAGAAAUGAACACUCGCAUUGAAGAAGUGAAAACACCCAACCACAAACAAAUUCGAAUUAGACAUAUAUCUACCUUCUAUUAAUUACUCUAUCACAGCCGUAAUACACACACAAAGCAAACACUUUAUCAUCCUCAAAGCAAGUCAUUUAACUCAACCACUACUUUUUCAUUUAACUCACCACUUCUUUUUCAUACAGACACAAAUCACUUCUAUUUAUUACUAACCUAACUCAAACAAAAGGCAUUGAAUGAGAAUAAUUCAUGAAGACAUUUACCUGUAUUCCUCCUCUGAUUUGACGAUCCUUCGUCAUCUGCUUUGACGUUCCUUCCUCAACUAUCUUGUUUCAUUGCGCUCAACAGACAAACAUAUAAAAACGAAACAAAAAUCAGUAGCAGCUCAAAAGACAAACACACAGACAAACACACACUUGAUUCAAUUCAGUUCCAAUUCAAUUUCAAAGCAGAACCUAAACCAUAUGAAUUCAAAGCAAAUCCUAAAUCUCUAUUGCAUUGUAAAAGCUUUUUAUCAACCGUUCAAUCAUUUUAACAGAGCAAAUCCUCUAGAACUUUUACCUCUAUUGCAGACGAGAAUCACAGUCAAUAUGGCCUUCUCAUCUUCUUUGAUCCAUCCAUAUGAAGCAACAAAGACAAAGACAAAUCAUGAGGCACAUACCAACACAACAACUAAUCAAAAUAACAAAUAAGGAUACAGAUUUACCUUUCGUUUUCAUUUACUCUGGCCCGGCGAUAGAGAUUUCGUCUGCUUCAUCAUCAUCGAGGAGAUCGACACAGAGAGUCACGGAGAGAUUCAUCGGGGAGUCCAAGCAGAGAGAGAGAGACGAGGAGAGAUCAUCUUCGAGUGAUCACGUCGAGGAGAGAUCAUCUUUGAGGAGCUAUCACCAGAAGAGAUCACGGAGUCAUCGGGGAGAGCGAUAGGCACGCCGAUUGGGGCGGAUUCCAUCCAGGAGAGAUCAACGACGACUGAUUCCGUCGAUAGAGAACACGAGAUAGAGGAGAUUGACGUUGAUUCGCCAAGAGAGAGACACAAGAGGAGAGGCGGAAUCAUCGAGAGAGGAAAAA
rnacentral:lncRNA from 1 species